rnacentral:rRNA from 1 species
UACGGAGGGGGCUAGCGUUGUUCGGAAUUACUGGGCGUAAAGCGCGCGUAGGCGGACCUGCAAGUCGGGGGUGAAAGCCCGAGGCUCAACCUCGGAACUGCCUUCGAUACUGCGGGUCUCAAGUCCGGGAGAGGUGAGUGGAAUUCCUAGUGUAGAGGUGAAAUUCGUAGAUAUUAGGAAGAACACCAGUGGCGAAGGCGGCUCACUGGCCCGGUACUGACGCUGAGGCGCGACAGCGUGGGGAGCAAACAGG